rnacentral:rRNA from 1 species
AUGGAGAGGGUUCGUAAGGGGGGUAGUAACGGCUAGGUCCCCCAAACCCAAAGAACUUGGCGGCAGCUUACCCAACUAGAGGAGCCUGCCCCGUAACCGAUACCACCCGUUAGUUUGACCUUCCGUAUGUUUGUAUACCGCCGUCUAAUCUUUAACUUCUAGGUUAAGGUAGCAAGGUCACCCCCUAAGACAGGUCGAGGUGCAGCGUAUCGGAAGGUGGAGGUGGGCUACAAUUCCUCUGGUAGCAGACUUUUUUAAUUAUAGAAGAAGGCAAGAUGGAUUUAGAGGUACCGGGGGGUUAGUACCCCCCCGCGAAUUGGAUUUAAGCCGUGU